rnacentral:rRNA from 1 species
GAUGAACGCUGGCGGCGUGCCUAAUACAUGCAAGUCGAGCGAACAGACGAGGAGCUUGCUCCUCUGCUGUUAGCGGCGGACGGGUGAGUAACACGUGGAUAACCUACCUAUAAGACUGGGAUAACUUCGUGAAACCGGAGCUAAUACCGGAUAACAUGUUGAACCGCAUGGUUCAACAGUGAAAGACGGUCUUGCUGUCACUUAUAGAUGGAUCCGCGCCGCAUUAGCUAGUUGGUAAGGUAACGGCUUACCAAGGCAACGAUGCGUAGCCGACCUGAGAGGAUGAUCGGCCACACUGGAACUGAGACACGGUCCAGACUCCUACGGGAGGCAGCAGUGGGGAAUCUUCCACAAUGGGCGAAAGCCUGAUGCAGCCACGCCGCGUGAGUGAAGAAGGUCUUCGGAUUGUAAAGCUCUGUUAUUGGGGAAGAACAAAUGUAUAAGUAUCUAUGCACGUCUUGACGGUACCUAAACAGAAAGCCACGGCUAACUACGUG